UCUAUAUAAACAAACCCUCAUACCUCCCGUGUUAAAGCAAUUUAGGAAAGACAAAAAAAUAAUUAUACUAAUGUGUUCCAACAUAUCUUCGACAAUUCUUCAGAGUUGGAGAGAGCGUCCUCCUUCUACCUACUCUAUCAAAGUUAAAAACGUCUCCCAAUUCGAGAUCUCAACUCUCCACUCUGAUGGCAAAUACCAGUCCCGGCGUUUCUCCUCUGGUGAUUACAAAUGGAGACUGAUCAUAUACCCAAAAGGACAAUGGGAAUGGCUUUAUUUCAAUGUAUGUUGAAAUAGAUAGCACAAGCCUUACUUCGACAACUCCAACUGAGGUGUAUGCAGAUCUCCGAUUUUUUGUUUUUAACAAAAAGGAAAACAAGUAAUUUACUAUUCAAGAUGUGGAAUCGAGGCCGUUCAAUUCACUAAGAACGAUGUGGGGAUUGUCGCAAGUGCUUGCCCUUGGUACAUUCAAUGAUCGUGAAAAUGGAUACAUCUUUGAUGGAGUUCACUGUGAGUUUGGUGUUGAUAUCACUGUUGUUCCACCUCCAACCAAAUGGGAAAUCCUCUCUUUUGAUGAGGAUCUUCCUUAUCCAAAGUUCUCUUGGACUGUUAAGAAUUUUUCAGAUAUAAAAGAGAAUCCUCACACAUCAGAUAGCUUUUCAAAGGGAGGAAGGGAAUGGGUUGUAAAGUUGUAUCCCAAGGGCAAUUCUCCACCAGAUGGUAAAUGUUAACGAGAUAUCUUAUGCUGUUAGAAUUUUCGUCUCUUCUUUGUCUGCGAAUUUGUUGGCUAAAAUUAUAGCUAAAAGUGUUAUGUGGGAGGGAUGUUUUAACUCAUACUUGGCAAUUGGAGGUCUGCCUUGGUUUCAUAAUAGCAUUAGCAUCGAAGAGAAACGACGCUCUUACUCUGUUUUUGGUGGAGUGCUCACACUCUUGUUUCCUGUUUACAUGCCUUUAUUGCAAUGUUUUUAAACCCGAUCCGAAAAACAACCCGGACAACCUUCUGGGUCACCAGGUC